AAGGGGCGGAUGUAGCCAAGUGGAUCAAGGCAGUGGAUUU
rnacentral:tRNA from 1 species